rnacentral:lncRNA from 1 species
AAAGGCAGUGUGCUGAAAUUAAUUUGUUGGGAUGGGAUCUGCCGGCUGAUUUCAAUAGCAGAGGGGCAGAAAUCCCACUGUGCUCAGGAGUGCCACGCUUGGGCACACUGCUGCUUUCCUGCCCUUCCCCUGCUCUUCUGCUCUCCCCCCCCCCCCAGCUAAAGCCAGGCAGGGAGAGGGAGGGAGGGAAGAACAGCGAGUCCGAGAGCUCUCUGCGGUCGGCAGGGCCUAUAAAUAGCCGCUGAAGUCUUGUAAUGCCGACGGGGUGCGUCACAACCGCCCUCCCCACUCCAACCCCACUGCCGGCCCCGCAGCACCCGCAGCCCCAGGGAUGGGGAGAUGGGGGCUCACCCUGACUUUGGGAACCAUCCCCCAGGAAGCUCGUCGCUUUGCCCGGACGUUUCUCUGUGUAUUGCCACACUGAUACAUUUCUGAGCAUGGUGACCCUGUUUUAUUUCUUUGUUCUUGCCCCAAUGCCUCGUUCUGUUAGGAGCUGCUUCCACCAAUCCAUCAGACACAAGCGGGGGAACCCGCUGCCGAGUUCAUCCUCUCUGCACCUGCUCGUUCAAAACUUGACCUGCCGAAGGAAGAGAUGCCAGGCUGCCGUGUGGGAUGUGCUCCUUUUCUAGGAACAUGGUCAAAGCAGUAGGCAGGGAAACUCAGGGAGGACCCACCCAGCCAUGGCCAGCUUCCUUCCUUCCUUCAAGGCUCAAGGGGUGCCUGUUGUCAGAGAUGUCUGGUUUUCCUCAUCCACCACUGUUAAAAGAUGCCUGUGGAGUGGUAUACUGUGAACCUUCCGUGAAGGAUUAACAGGAGAAGAAAUUCUAGGGUCUGUGUGAUAGCAGCAGCUGGAGAACCUCUUCCUUCUUCCCUUCAGGACUUGGCUUUCCCAAGGCUUUGUAGGUGGGUUGUUAAGGCCUAACUCUUUACCCCUGCUCUGUCUCAUAUUUUUUUAAUGUUGUGUAUGAUAGGAAGUAUUAAUAGCAAAAGGGAAACUACAAGAGGACUUAAUUCCACCCCUAGUGGAUCCUCGUUCCAAAGGCUGUGAAGAAAACAUCAGAGAGAAUUCAGAGAAACGGAGGGACAGGGAAUUUGAACAGUAGGCAUCACAGUCGAGCAGAUCCACAGACACUCAAGGUGUCAAUUUCUCAUAACUGGUGGAAUUAAGUGCAGGGCAGUCCAUUAUUUAUUUUUCACAUUCCAGUUCCUGGCAAAGAACAAUAUCAGAAUAAGAGAGGAGGGAUAAAGAAAGUUUCUGAAAGAACCGAGAAUGCUUCCUACCUAAGUAACAAACUGAACAGAGAGAGCAGCCUCUUAACAUUGCAAGUUUUUUGUUUCUGCCUCAUUUGCUGCUACCUCAGAAUAACCAAAACACCAUCUUUGUCUAAUAUAAAACAACUAUUUUCACAAAACACUUCAAGCCACAGCAGUUUAGUCCUACCAGAAUAAUUCAUCACUCCACUGUAGCAAAUGUUAAUAUAUGAAAAAAUACAACUGUGUAUUAAAAGAAAAAGGAAGAAAAUUGUUUAAUUUAAAGCCCUUGUAUUUCAAUGGGUUCGGGCAGAAUUCACUAAAGCAUUGCUGGUGUUGUCCCAGCGCAAGUGAUGAUGACACUCAGCUGUCCAAGAUGGGGCUGUGUUUCAUUUAAACUCAGCAGAGAGACCCAGUAGAGGUCUGGUCUCUGAUAGACAGAGAUAGCAGACCUACCUGCAAUUCCUGCUGGGAGUUUUCCCCCCUCUGCUGGGUCACUGACUGCAGGGAGGACCAAGCACCUAAUUUUGGUUGUUCAGAGAACUGCUUUAAUUGGGCUGAGGCAAAAACAAAGCAGAGUGUUGGAGAAAAGGCCUUCAAAUCUUGGCGUAGCACAGAACAUAGAAUUUUUAUAAGGAAAAAAAGGCUGCUGUAAGUAUCAGAAGAGCGGUUAGGUCUGAGGCCAGCAAAAGGUUAAUCUGAGAAAUGA